AACAAAAAUCGCCUGUCAGGCGUUGGAAUC
rnacentral:sRNA from 1 species